CAUGGCGGGUCUACCAUGCAGUCUAACGGGAAUGUCGGCUUCGGCUGACUAGUACCGUGGCGAACGGGUGAGUAACACGUGGGUAAUCUGCCCUCGAGCUCGGGAUAACCUUGCGAAAGCGAGGCUAAUACCGGAUAAGACCACGCCCUGCCUGCAGGGUGCGGUAAAAGGUGGCCUCUUCUUGAAAGCUAUCACUUGAGGAUGAGCCCGCGGCCUAUUAGCUAGUUGGUGAGGUAAUGGCUCACCAAGGCGACGAUGGGUAGCCGGCCUGAGAGGGUGUACGGCCACACUGGCACUGAGACACGGGCCAGACUCCUACGGGAGGCAGCAGUGGGGAAUUUUGCGCAAUGGGGGAAACCCUGACGCAGCAACGCCGCGUGAGUGAUGAAGGCCUUCGGGUUGUAAAGCUCUUUUAGUGGGGAAGAAGCCCUCCCUGGCUAAUAUCCAGGGGGUCUGACGGUACCCACAGAAAAAGUUCCGGCUAACUACGUGCCAGCAGCCGCGGUAAUACGUAGGGAGCAAGCGUUGUUCGGAAUUAUUGGGCGUAAAGAGCGCGUAGGCGGUUCGGUAAGUCUGACGUGAAAUCCCGGAGCUUAACUCCGGAACUGCGUUGGAUACUGCCGGGCUUGAGUGUGGGAGAGGAGAGUGGAAUUCCCAGUGUAGAGGUGAAAUUCGUAGAUAUUGGGAGGAACACCCGUGGCGAAGGCGGCUCUCUGGACCACAACUGACGCUGAGGCGCGAAAGCUAGGGGAGCAAACGGGAUUAGAUACCCCGGUAGUCCUAGCCGUAAACGAUGGGCACUAGGUGUUGGAGGUAUCGACCCCUCCAGUGCCGCAGCUAACGCAUUAAGUGCCCCGCCUGGGGAGUACGGUCGCAAGACUAAAACUCAAAGGAAUUGACGG
rnacentral:rRNA from 1 species